AUUGUACUGCGAAACUGCGAAUGGCUCAUUAAAUCAGUUAUCGUUUAUUUGAUAGUGCCUUUCCUACUUGGAUAACCGUGGUAAUUCUAGAGCUAAUACAUGCUAAAAAUCCCGACUUCGGAAGGGAUGCAUUUAUUGGAUACAGAACCAAUGCCCUCCGGGGCUCACUGGUGAAUCACAAUAACUCCGCGGAUCGCACGGCCUUGCGCCGGCGAUGGUUCAUUCAAAUUUCUGCCCUAUCAACUUUCGACGGCUGGGUCUUGGCCAGCCGUGGUGACAACGGGUAACGGAGGGUUAGGGCUUGACCCCGGAGAAGGAGCCUGAGAGACGGCUACUACAUCCAAGGAAGGCAGCAGGCGCGCAAAUUACCCAAUCCCGAUUCGGGGAGGUAGUGACGAAAAAUACUGAUCCAGGGCUCUUUUGGGUCUUGGAAUUGGAAUGAGUACAAUUUAAAUCCCUUAACGAGGAACAAUUGGAGGGCAAGUCUGGUGCCAGCAGCCGCGGUAAUUCCAGCUCCAAUAGCGUAUAUUAAAGUUGUUGAGGUUAAAAAGCUCGUAGUUGAACCUUGGCCCUGGCUGGUCGGUCCGCCUCACCGCGAGCACUGGUCCGGCCGGGGCUUUCCCUCUGGGGAUCCUCAUGCCCUUCACUGGGUGUGCUGGGGAACCAGGACUUUUACUGUGAACAAAUCAGAUCGCUCAAAGAAGGCUCUCGCUCGAAUGCUUCAGCAUGGAAUAAUGAAAUAGGACGUGCGGUUCUAUUUUGUUGGUUUCUAGGACCGCCGUAAUGAUUAAUAGGGACAGUCGG
rnacentral:rRNA from 1 species